AUAUGGUCUCGGCAUUCUGGCAAAGACCAAGUGUAGUAUCUGUUCUUAUUAGUUUAAUAUCUGAUAUGUGGGCCAUCGGUUCACCCUUUAUUAAAUUAAUAAUUAUUUGAGGAGAGGGCCCACUACUAUAGCUUACUACUGGGAUCUCUAACACGUUGCCUUGGUGUUGCACUAUCGCCUUGGCUUGCCGCACCCCAA